rnacentral:rRNA from 1 species
GACGUAGGGCGCGAGCGUUGUCCGGAUUUAUUGGGCGUAAAGGGCGCGUAGGCGGCCUUCUUAGUCGAACGUGAAAUCCCCGGGCUCAACCCGGGAACUGCGUCCGAUACUGGAAGGCUCGAAUCCGGGAGAGGGAUGUGGAAUUCCAGGUGUAGCGGUGAAAUGCGUAGAUAUCUGGAGGAACACCGGCGGCGAAGGCGAGGCUCUGGCCCGUUACUGACACUGAGACGCGAAAGCUAGGGGAGCAAACGGG